GAUGAACGCUGGCGGCGUGCCUAAUACAUGCAAGUCGAGCGAACAGACGAGGAGCUUGCUCCUCUGACGUUAGCGGCGGACGGGUGAGUAACACGUGGAUAACGUACCUAUAAGACUGGGAUAACUUCGGGAAACCGGAGCUAAUACCGGAUAAUAUAUUGAACCGCAUGGUUCAAUAGUGAAAGACGGUUUUGCUGUCACUUAUAGAUGGAUCCGCGCCGCAUUAGCUAGUUGGUAAGGUAACGGCUUACCAAGGCGACGAUGCGUAGCCGACCUGAGAGGGUGAUCGGCCACACUGGAACUGAGACACGGUCCAGACUCCUACGGGAGGCAGCAGUAGGGAAUCUUCCGCAAUGGGCGAAAGCCUGACGGAGCAACGCCGCGUGAGUGAUGAAGGUCUUCGGAUCGUAAAACUCUGUUAUUAGGGAAGAACAAAUGUGUAAGUAACUAUGCACGUCUUGACGGUACCUAAUCAGAAAGCCACGGCUAACUACGUG
rnacentral:rRNA from 1 species